rnacentral:rRNA from 1 species
UAACGCGAAGAACCUUACCUGGGCUUGACAUGUGGAUGACCGGCCUGGAAACAGGUCUUCCCUUCGGGGCAUCUUCACAGGUGGUGCAUGGCUGUCGUCAGCUCGUGUCGUGAGAUGUUGGGUUAAGUCCCGCAACGAGCGCAACCCCCGUCGUAUGUUGCCAGCAUUUAGUUGGGGACUCAUGCGAGACUGCCGGUGACAAACCGGAGGAAGGUGGGGAUGACGUCAAGUCAUCAUGCCCCUUAUGUCCAGGGCUACACACGUGCUACAUUGGCGCGUACAGAGGGCUGCGAUGCCGCGAGGCGGAGCGAAUCCCUUAAAGCGCGUCUCGGUUCGGAUUGCAGGCUGAAACCCGCCUGCAUGAAGGCGGAGUUGCUAGUAAUCGCGGAUCAGCAUUGCCGCGGUGAAUACGUUCCCGGGUCUUGUACACACCGA